rnacentral:rRNA from 1 species
UCCGUAGGUGAACCUGCGGAGGGAUCAUUACUGAGUUUACGCUCUAUAACCCUUUGUGAACAUACCUAUAACUGUUGCUUCGGCGGGUAGGGUCUCCGUGACCCUCCCGGCCUCCCGCCCCCGGGCGGGUCGGCGCCCGCCGGAGGAUAACCAAACUCUGAUUUAACGACGUUUCUUCUGAGUGGUACAAGCAAAUAAUCAAAACUUUUAACAACGGAUCUCUUGGUUCUGGCAUCGAUGAAGAACGCAGCGAAAUGCGAUAAGUAAUGUGAAUUGCAGAAUUCAGUGAAUCAUCGAAUCUUUGAACGCACAUUGCGCCCGCCAGCAUUCUGGCGGGCAUGCCUGUUCGAGCGUCAUUUCAACCCUCAAGCUCUGCUUGGUGUUGGGGCCCUACAGCUGAUGUAGGCCCUCAAAGGUAGUGGCGGACCCUCCCGGAGCCUCCUUUGCGUAGUAACUUUACGUCUCGCACUGGGAUCCGGAGGGACUCUUGCCGUAAAACCCCCCAAUUUUCCAAAGGUUGACCUCGGAUCAGGUAGGAAUACCCGCUGAACUUAAGCAUAUCA